UAGUUGUGAGUGGAGUGCUGGAUAAUAAAGAGGCUGACAUGAGGAAGGAAAGGAGGAUGAAAAUACCUAUCAUUAGAGAGGACUAUCUGGUUGAUUGUGUCAAAAGACCAAAAACUUCCUUUUGAUCUAUACACAAUUGAAGCCAUCAGAGAAGAGUCUAGCAUGGUCACUUAAAGUGAAAGGGCGAAAUGCUGUACAUGAAUCAUCUAGCUUGCAAGAUUCUGGCCACAUCCUUGAGGAUGGAAAAAGCAUUUACAAUACAACUUUGAACAUAUCUGACCUUUCAACUAAGUAAUUUCUUUUAUACUUCUUUUGAAGCAUUUUUACCUUAAUUAUAUAAAUUGUUGUUGCUUUUUGUGGUUUAAAA